rnacentral:rRNA from 1 species
GACGAACGCUGGCGGCGUGCUUAACACAUGCAAGUCGAACGAAGUGGCGAACGGGUGAGUAACGCGUAAUCAACCUGCCCUACCGAGGGGGACAAAAGAUGGAAACGACUGCUCAUCCCACAUCCCGAAGGAGGGGAGUGCGUCUGAGUAGCUAGGUGGAGGGGUAACGGCCCACCAAGGCGCUGAUCAGUAGCCGGGCUGAUAUGAGGAACGACCACAGUGGGACUGAGACACGGCCCAGACUCCUGCGGGAGCCAGCAGUGGGGGAUCGUCCGCAAUGGGCGCAAGUCUGACGGAGGAACGCCGCGUGAGGGAUGACGACCGUCUGGUUGUGAAGCUCUGUUCAUCGGGACGCGGUACCAUAAUAGAAAGCCACGGCUAACUCCGUGCCAGCAGCCGCGGUAAUAC